rnacentral:rRNA from 1 species
UACGUAGGGCGCAAGCGUUGUCCGGAAUUAUUGGGCGUAAAGAGCGUGUAGGCGGCUUCACAGGUCCGCUGUGAAAACUCGAGGCUCAACCUCGAGCUGUCGGUGGAAACCGUGUGGCUAGAGUCCGGAAGAGGGCAGUGGAAUUCCCGGUGUAGCGGUGAAAUGCGUAGAUAUCGGGAGGAACAUCAGUGGCGAAGGCGGCUGCCUGGCCCAAUACUGACACUCAGGUGCGACAGCGUGGGAGCAAACAGG